GGUGAACGCUGGCGGCGUGCUUAAGACAUGCAAGUCGAACGGCAGUCUUCGGACUGUAGUGGCGCACGGGUGAGUAACGCGUAACUGACCUACCCCAAAGUCGCGGAUAACGAUUCGAAAGAAUCGCUAAUACGUGAUGUGCUGUCAGACUGUGUUCUGCCAGUAAAGAUUGAUUGCUUUGGGAUGGGGUUGCGUUCCAUCAGCUAGUUGGUGGGGUAAAGGCCCACCAAGGCGACGACGGAUAGCCGGCCUGAGAGGGUGGCCGGCCGCAGGGGCACUGAGACACGGGUCCCACUCCUACGGGAGGCAGCAGUUAGGAAUCUUCCACAAUGGGCGAAAGCCUGAUGGAGCGACGCCGCGUGAGGGAUGAAGGUCUUCGGAUCGUAAACCUCUGAAUCAGGGACGAAAGACACUUCGGUGGGAUGACGGUACCUGAGUAAUAGCACCGGCUAACUCCGUGCCAGCCGCCGCCGUAAUAC
rnacentral:rRNA from 1 species